GACGAACGCUGGCGGCGUGCUUAACACAUGCAAGUCGAACGGAAAGGCCCUGCUUUUGUGGGGUGCUCGAGUGGCGAACGGGUGAGUAACACGUGAGUAACCUGCCCUUGACUUUGGGAUAACUUCAGGAAACUGGGGCUAAUACCGGAUAGGAGCUCCUGCUGCAUGGUGGGGGUUGGAAAGUUUCGGCGGUUGGGGAUGGACUCGCGGCUUAUCAGCUUGUUGGUGGGUAGUGGCUUACCAAGGCUUUGACGGGUAGCCGGCCUGAGAGGGUGAACGGCCACAUUGGGACUGAGAUACGGCCCAGACUCCUACGGGAGGCAGCAGUGGGGAAUAUUGCACAAUGGGCGGAAGCCUGAUGCAGCAACGCCGCGUGCGGGAUGACGGCCUUCGGGUUGUAAACCGCUUUCGCCUGUGACGAAGCGUGAGUGACGGUAAUGGGUAAAGAAGCACCGGCUAACUACGUG
rnacentral:rRNA from 1 species